GAUACCACCCUUGUAGUACUGGGACUCUAACCAUAGGCCAUGAAUCUGGUCUUGGGACACUGUCAGGUGGGCAGUUUGACUGGGGCGGUCGCCUCCCAAAAGGUAACGGAGGCGCUCAAAGGUUCUCUCAGUACGGUCGGAAAUCGUACGUAGAGUGUAAAGGCAAAAGAGAGCUUGAUUGCAAGACAUACAGGGCGAGCAAGGAUGAAAAUCGGACUUAGUGAUCCGGUGGUUCUGCGUGGAAGGGCCAUCGCUCAACGGAUAAAAGCUACCCUGGGGAUAACAGGCUUAUCUCCCCCAAGAGUCCACAUCGACGGGGAGGUUUGGCACCUCGAUGUCGGCUCAUCAC
rnacentral:rRNA from 1 species